rnacentral:SRP_RNA from 1 species
UAGCUGUAAUGGCUUGGUGGGACUGGAUAUCCCGAGAUUUCUGACCUGGGUUCAAACCCUACGGUCGGACGUGGAGCAACAAAGUGCCUCGCUUCGUGCGUCGGCAUUGCUCUGUGCUUAGCUCAACCGCCAACGAGUUUCAGACGUGUCCCGGUUUAUAUCGAUCUUUGCGGGCAGUUCUGGGUGAGAUAUGAGAAGUCUGUCUUUACCCAGAUACGGCAAUGGUAGGCGAGGUCCUUAAGGUAACUCGUCUCAUGUGCUCCUAAUGCUGAAGGGGAGAUUCAUCCAGCACAGCAAGAGCAACCCGUGAGGAGGCGGCCGGGAUGGCACAUGUCCUCGGUGAGAGUUUCUCUCAAUGCGGUGGGUUAUGGAUUCCCUCGUGACACUAGUCGCUGUGGAUGUCCCUUGGAACUACCUUU